rnacentral:lncRNA from 1 species
GGGCAAUGGGCGGGGCUAAAGGUUAAAAAAGGGAGCGGUUUCUUUAUUUAAAAUUUUUAAAAUUUAAAUUUUGUGUUGUAGGUUCUUUAAGCAUUGACGAGCUAAAGACCAUUUUAAAUUCUAAGCCUAGGGAAGCUUACAAUGGAACUAAUCAGAUGUUUUUAUGUCGGUUUGUUCCGAGACAGUGGAAGACUGGAGGUCAUGUGCUUGUGUCUAAUGUUUAGCAAAAUCUUAGUGAAACGAGGGCGAUAGGAAUGGGGGCUGGGGAAGACUUAGAUGGGAUAAAAAGAGGUGCGGCUGGAAGAACUAAAUCACUUUAAAACUUCUGAAAAUAAAUGUUGACCAUUGUAGUCAGAGGAGUAAAAUGUUCAGAGAAAUGGGGAUGAUUAAACAAGAACGGCAAGCCAGAUUGAGUCAGAAAAUUAUCUUCCUGCCAGAAAUUCUGUCUCCCACAACGGCAUCAGGGGGUGGUUACUUGCCCAGGGUGUAGUCAGUUUUUAAAAAGCUUAAGGGUUACCAACAUAUUCCUAAAUUUCCUGAAUUUGCUGUGAUUCCAGGAUUCAUUUAAACUCUUGAGACUGUUUUACUUUCGGCACGAAAUCAGCUCAUGGGCUUUAUAAAUGUAGAACCUACUGCAUUAUAGUUCUUCUUUUUGUUUAUUCUAAAACUGUUAGUAGCAGCCAGCGUAUUAUAUGAUUUGGAUUGGGCCAUGAACAACCGUAACGAGUGAUAAAGCACCCUUUCCUGUUCCAAUGCAAAGAACAACUAUGAAAAGAAAGUACUGGCAAAUUUAUCAUCUUGUAGUUAGUUCCUGGCCAAAGAAAAUGAAGCUACUCAAGGAUGUGCUCCACCAAAAUGAGGAUAUGAAGCCAAUAUAAAGGAAGGCAAUGAAUACAAGAGACAGGCAAAGGGAGUUCCCAGGACAUAAGCAAGGGACGUCCCAGGUAGCAAGUGUGCACCUGGUGUCCAGGGCCAUCUGUCCAGGGAGAAGUCAGCUGCCAUGUCAUGAAGACGCUCGAGUAGCCCUAUGAGAUUCCCAUGUGAACAGAAAUUGAGUCCUCCUGCCAACAAUCAGCCAUAAUUUGCAAGACACGUACAUGAGCUACCUUAGAAGAGAAUCCCUGGGCCCCAGAUAAGCCUUCAGGUGAAUGCAGCCCUGGAAGACAUCUUAACUGCAACCUCAUGAGAGACCCUGAGCCAGAACCAACCAGCUAAGGCACUGCCCGAUUCCUGACCUACACGCAUGGGGGUGUGAGAUAAUGUUUAUUGUGCUAAGCCACUAAGUUUUGCUAUAAUUUGUCAUGUAGAAAUAGAUAAUGAAUACAUGCUGGCAGGUAGGAAGGAAAUCAUCAGAGACAUGUUCAGGAAGAAUUAAUACUAGGAAAGAAAGUGUACCCCCACCCCCACCAAAAAACCAUGGAUAUGUUUUUUAUGCAUUUAAAAAUGCAUAUUAAAAUUAUAAUGAGAUUCUACUUUUCAUGAGAUCAGCUAAAAUUGAAAUCUGAUAGUACCAAGUGUCUCAUACACUGCUGUCAGAACAUAAAUUGGUACAAUCAGUUUUCAGAAAACAGUUUUACAUUACCUAGUAAAGGUGAAGUUACACAUACCACCAGAUAGAUUAUCAACAUCCUACCCUUAUAUGCACACACCAGAAAUAAGUGCACAUGUACAUCGAAAAAUAUGUACAUCAAUGUUCAUAGCAGUAUUACUCAUAAAAACCUGAAACCAGAAACAAGUAUCCCUCAACGGUAAGAAAAUUGUGGAAGAUUCAUUCACUAGCAUACUGUACGUUAAGUGAAAAUCAACAAAAUAUAGCUACAGGCAAUAAUGUGGAUGAGGCUUAAAAACAAUGUUGAGUGGAAAAGGUCCCACACAAAGGAAUAUAUAUAGUAUGAAUCUAUUUAUGUGAAGUUCAAAGGGAGGCAGAGUUAAGCUAUUUGUUUUAGGGAUGAUUACUUAGGAGGUAAAUACAUAAAGAAAAGUAAGAAAAGUGAAUACCAUAAAUGUCAGAAUAAUGGUUUCUUUAGGGAGGAUUAUAUACAGGUUGUGAUUGGAAAGGGGCUAUGGGUGGGGGCUUUCGGAGGUGUUUACAAUAUAUCAUUUCUUUUUUUUGUUGUUUCCUUUAAA